GCCAGUGUGGCAUAGCGGUUUGAGUGUUGGACUACAACUCUAUAGAGCAGGGUUCGAUUCCUGCUCGGCCA